UCGAGGUUCGAAACUAGGGUCCAGUUAUGUUGCAACAAUGGUACGAUAUCACUAUUGCUUUCAACCAUUGGAUCUAUCUAAUACAACUAUAUAACUAUAAAUUUAAUGACUGGUUGCAACAUACAUAUCCAUUCUCUGCAAUGGUACUGUUUCACCAAUAUUGACCGUCGUGCAUAAAAUCAACUCAAAUUCCAAAAUCGUCCUUUAAAAGCCUGAAUCAUGUGCUAUAAGCCUUUAGUUUUAGUCCUAAAAUAAGUCCAAAGAAAAAGUGUUUUGUUUUCUUCAGAAUCUAAUUCGGUUGUCUUCCACCAAAAUCCUCUUUGCGUCAUUUAGACGCUCUCAAACAAUUUCACAUCAGCCCAAAAAGUUUUUCUAACUUCUUUGUGAUUUUCUUUGAUUUUUCAAAAACAAAAGACCGAAAAUUUUAUAGAUAUCAUUUUGGGGCUCGAAACCAACAGUUUUUUUUAAAAAAAAAUUACGGUAUAGUUUCCCCAAUAUUGAGCUUCAUACAAAAAUCAACUAAAAAUAUCUAAAAUCUUCCUUUAAAAGCUCAAUACUGUGUGUUCUAUAGCCUUCGGGUUUUGGCACAAAAUGGGCUGAGAAGAAAAGUUUAGUUUUUCUUUAAAAACUAAUUUGGUUUUUUUCCACCAAAAUCUGCUUUUGGUUAUUAAGAGCCUCUUGAACAGUUUCACAUCAUUUUAAAUAUUU
rnacentral:lncRNA from 1 species